rnacentral:rRNA from 1 species
AACGAACGCUGGCGGCAAGCUUAACACAUGCAAGUCGAACGGAUUGUUCUCGUAGCUUGCUAUGAGAACAAUUAGUGGCAGACGGGUGAGUAAUGCAUAGGAAUCUACCUAGUAGUAUAGGAUAGCCACUAGAAGUGGUGGGUAAUACUGUAUAAUCCCUGCGGGGGAAAGAUUUAUCGCUACAUGAUGAGCCUAUGUUAGAUUAGCUAGUUGGGGGGGUAAUGGCCUACCAAGGCAGUGAUCUAUAGCUGGUCUGAGAGGAUGAUCAGCCACACUGGAACUGAGACACGGUCCAGACUCCUACGGGAGGCAGCAGUGGGGAAUAUUGGACAAUGGGCGCAAGCCUGAUCCAGCUAUGCCGCGUGAGUGAGGAAGGCCUUAGGGUUGUAAAACUCUUUCAGUGGGGAAGAUAAUGACGGUACCCAC